UGGGUGUCAAGCUUCAGUUGUGAUUUAUAUUUGAAUUUUUCCAUUAUUUGUACAUUACGAUGUUUUUUAGUCCAAUGUAAUAUCCAGAACUGCGUACACUUUCAUAGAUCCUUUUGUUACCCCAGUCAUUGCUUAAGUUCGUGCUGAUUAUUUUCGGUGCUUUCUGUGUAGCUGUUUUUAUCUUUAUUUUGUUUUCUUUUGACGUUAUUGUGUAUGUUUUGAUCACGAAAAAUGAUAUAUAAUUUCCCGUUUGCUAUUUUCACAGUCAUCGUUUGCAAUAAACAACUAUUAUCAUGCAAAGUAUAUUUCGUUGCAUAUGCUCUAAG
rnacentral:lncRNA from 1 species